CAACCUGCCUUAACAUGCUUAAGUUAAACCACCUGUGACAACACACAUUAUAUUUAUGAUUAAAUGUUGCUUUGGGAAGAUCCUAACUAAUAUCUUCAAUUUGUACAAGAAUAAUAAAGACGUAAAAAGAAAAUUAGAGAAAGUAUUAAACCUAGUAAUACGAUCUAUUACGUGGAUUUGCAAUUUGAACUUAACAUGCUUAAGUAAAACCACCUGUGACAACACACAUUAUAUUUAUGGUUAAAUGUUGCUUUGGGAAGGUCCUAACUAAUAUCUGCCAGUUGUACAAGAAUAAUAAAGACGUAAAAAGAAAAUUGGAGAAAGUACUAAACCUAGUAAUACGAUCUAUUACGUGAAUUUGCAAUUUUAACCUACUACAACAAAAGUAUAUACUUUGAGGUGACCCAUACAAAUAUCUGUCAGUUAUGAAAGACAAAUAGAUGUAAAAGGAACCAAGAGAGAAAAUUAAACCUGGUAAUUUGAACUA